UGCAUAUCAAAAAGCUGAGGAAAAGAAACCAACAGGGAUUGCCUUAGUAGCGGCGAGUGAAGCGGCAAAAGCUCAAAUUUGAAAUCUGGCUCUUUCAGAGUCCGAGUUGUAAUUUGAAGAAGGUAUCUUUGGGUCUGGCUCUUGUCUAUGUUUCUUGGAACAGAACGUCACAGAGGGUGAGAAUCCCGUGCGAUGAGAUGAUCCAGGCCUAUGUAAAGUUCCUUCGAAGAGUCGAGUUGUUUGGGAAUGCAGCUCUAAGUGGGUGGUAAAUUCCAUCUAAAGCUAAAUAUUGGCGAGAGACCGAUAGCGAACAAGUACAGUGAUGGAAAGAUGAAAAGAACUUUGAAAAGAGAGUGAAAAAGUACGUGAAAUUGUUGAAAGGGAAGGGCUUGAGAUCAGACUUGGUAUUUUGUAUGUUACUUCUUCGGGGGUGGCCUCUACAGUUUAUCGGGCCAGCAUCAGUUUGGGCGGUAGGAGAAUUGCGUUGGAAUGUGGCACGGCUUCGGUUGUGUGUUAUAGCCUUCGUCGAUACUGCCAGCCUAGACUGAGGACUGCGGUUUAUACCUAGGAUGUUGGCAUAAUGAUCUUAAGUCGCCCGUCUUGAACCAC
rnacentral:rRNA from 1 species